AUUGAACGCUGGCGGCAUGCUUUACACAUGCAAGUCGAACGGUAACAGGCCGCAAGGUGCUGACGAGUGGCGAACGGGUGAGUAAUGCAUCGGAACGUGCCCAGUCGUGGGGGUUAACUACUCGAAAGAGUAGCUAAUACCGCAUACGAUCUAUGGAUGAAAGCGGGGGACCGUAAGGCCUCGCGCGAUUGGAGCGGCCGAUGUCAGAUUAGGUAGUUGGUGGGGUAAAGGCUCACCAAGCCAACGAUCUGUAGCUGGUCUGAGAGGACAACCAGCCACACUGGGACUGAGACACGGCCCAGACUCCUACGGGAGGCAGCAGUGGGGAAUGUUGGACAAUGGGCGCAAGCCUGAUCCAGCAAUGCCGCGUGCAGGAAGAAGGCCUUCGGGUUGUAAACUGCUUUUGUACGGAACGAAACGGCUCUGGUUAAUACCCGGGGCUAAUGACGGUACCGUAAGAAUAAGCACCGGCUAACUACGUG
rnacentral:rRNA from 1 species